rnacentral:rRNA from 1 species
GACAGAGGCCCCAAGCGUUAGGCGGAAUCACUGGGCUUAAAGCGUGUGUAGGCGGACGCCUAAGUGUCUUGUGAAAUCCCACGGCUCACCCGUGGAACUGCUGGGCAUACUGGGCGUCUUGGGCCAACUAGGGGCGAGCCGGAACAAGCGGUGGAGCGGUGAAAUGCGUAGAUAUCGGCUUGGAACGCCGAAGGUGAAAACAGGCUGCUGGGGUUGCGCCGACGCGUGAGACACGAAAGCCAGGGGAGCAAACGGG